GUGCCAGUGUCUCACCAGCCUCAUGGCAUAAGUACUAGGACAUUUGAUUCUGGAACACUACAGAAACAGUCUCCCACACAAUAAAGCAUGCUCCACAGGUGGCAAGGUGAAGAGCUUUUCCUUUGGCCCACACAAGGAGACAAGAGCUCAUUACCAGUGCUAAAGGAACACAGGACUGGUCCAAUCUUUCACAUCCAAGUAAGCAUCUAAUAGGUAUCUACUUCAGAAGGCUCCACAAAACAUUUAGUCCAUAAAUCUGGACAGUUUCCAGCAUCCUGUAACACAAAAUGCCUACACAAAAGGACUGAAAGCCACAGCUGUUAAAAAAAAAAUAGCCACAAGAAAGAGGUCAGGAGAGAUUGGGCACUGCAGAGAUGCUAGGGUUUUGCAGUAGUGGACAGCGUAUGACAUGAGGUUCCAGAAAGAAACAUUCCACUCUCUCUCACAGAGAAGGAAAUAAAACAUAUAUAAACUUACAACAGUUCUUCCAAAAUGGAUCUGAAAGGCAAAUUCCUCCUGGGCCUCAAUUGCCUAGGUGAGCAUCCACCUAGCAUUUGCAGAUCAGAGUUGUGAGGAGUCUCAAGAGUAAAAAUCCACCUUCAGACAAUAAGGUAGCUUUGUAUAGUUUCCAUCUAAACAACAAUUGGUCAAUGUAUCCUGCUUUUUAAAGCUUUUCAUCUUACACACCUUCACCUCUCUUCACCUGGAUCUUUCUAAUUGAAUUCCUGUAAUCCAUUCUCAUCUUAAUGCUGCGUUCAGGAUUCUUUGGUAUUCGGUACUGGAUUUUGUUUGCAGGUGUGACGUGAAACACUUUAAUGAAGAAUAAUCCAGAUGACAUGCGUGUAGCAGGAAUAAAACUUCAUCUGCAGCAUGAGGUUAUGUUAACAACAUGUAUUUCAAGAAUGAUCCAAUGAUAAUAAUCUAAAUGCUGAUUCCAAAUUUCUGAAUAACCCAGAGAAGAUCUGACACAGGAAGACCACAGGCUACCUGGCUGAGGGAGAGCAGGCAGUCUGCAAGAAGCGCUAGAAAGAAGCACUGGCAAAGAAAAAAUUUGGCAAAUAGUUAGAAAAGAUCUUACUUGCAAAAAACCCAGUCCUUUGGAUCAUGACAGCCAGGUCAUGACUGAUACACAAACAGCUGCAAAAAGCCUUCUUAACAGCAGUCUAACCAACUAAGCAGACAGUGAUUUCACACCUUCGUGUGAGCUGGCACAGCAAGCCCAUGUCACUUGUGUACAAAGUAUGAUAAUGUAGAAAUAGUCAGCACACUGCUGUGCUUCCAAAAUUUUGUAGAUGAACUGUAUGGGAUAUUACUGAAACAGAGCAUAGAGUCUAUUACCCCUGCAACUGCUUCUUUAAGCUGUUCCUCACAAAUCUUGCUUAUGUUCACCCAUUGGAUGCAUCAAGCAGAUGUCUCAUGCAGCUGAGAAAGCAGUUCUGAGUUCCAGGCAGAGCAGAUGGCAAGUCAGUUUUAAAGACUCCAUUUAAAAGACUAACAUAAUGAAAUGAGACUAUAUGGCAUUCAGUUAAUCAGUGUCUGCAAGGUGAUGGAAUCAAGAAUAGCAGGAUUUAUUUGUUAUGCUGGGAGAUAUAUUUCCAUAUUUUUUUAUCCUUAUUGUCAGUCAUGUGCUUGCAUGACUAGCUGGGGAAUCAGAGACAGCUCUAAUGGAAAAGAGAAAUUAGGUCAUCUGGUCCAUCCUCACUGCCAGGGCAUGACUGUUCCCUGCAGUGUAUCACUUCCCACACAGUUAUCUUUCCAACUGUCUUGUGUAAGAUGGAAAUGCAAUUCAGAGUCCCAUUUGGCUAUGGCUACCAGAGCUUUUGAGGACUUUUUAUUUGUACAAAAAUGCUUAUUGAGAGACUCAGAGCUAACAAUUUAAAAUACAUUUCAAAGAAAAAAAAAUCUCAGAAUUUGAGUCUCAGUAAAAACUUUUUAAUAGGAAAGCUGUGCAGUAUUUGGGAUAACCGGGGACACUGUUUUCAUUCAGACAGGAAAUAGUUUCUAUGACUCACUUCUACAAAUUAAACAAUAGGUUUCCUGCUAAAAAAAAAUCCAGCAACUAGUUCAGUAAGUAGUUUAGGAAGCAGCCAAUACUCGUGAUGCUCUCAGCAAACUUUCAUCAGGAGACUCACCACUACUGCUAGCUGACUGUAGGUAUUGUAUUCCAGGUUGCCUUGAUAAAUUACUCCAAGUGUUUGGAUCCUCAUUCUUCAGCACAGCAUCUCUAUGUGCCAGCACUCAUACUGUAUGGGGCAGGACUUGUUUAUUAAGGAAAAAAAUGAGUGAACAAAAAUGGAAAUGCAGUGGAAUAUAACAUAAGGAAAUGGCAAACUUCUUCCCUUUCAGCAGUUUUGGCAUUACUUCCAUGCUGCCUGCAAACAAUAAGCCCCAUCAUUUACCCCUUGACUACACUCAUCAAGUAAGCCCAAUGGUUUGAAUUAGUCCAAAUAUUUCCUUAAGGUUGAUCUCCUUUCCCAAAGGACCCGUUUGCUUUGUUUUAACCAGGAAGUGCCACCAUGUAGUUUGGUUUAAGGAUUCACUUUCUUAAGUUAGGCAGGGAUUCUCCAAACUUUGUUCAUCUUUGCAUUUCCUUUUGCCACCAACUUCUGAUCCUUCUCUGCCUUCACAUGCUUAUCCACAUCAGUUCAUGUAGUGGUAUAUUUAGACCAUUAUCCUUCACUGGAGAAUUUUGUUUGCAUUGUACCCUGCAACAACAUUUUCCUUGGAGAAGACUGAAGAGCAUUUGAGGAACUCCAGCAGAAACGCAGCAGUUCAGAAAUACACUCAUCAUGACAAACUGAGUAAUUUCUUCUAUAGAACUCUGGAAAGAUCACGACCAGUACAACCUCAAGUACAAGUGCUUUUUUGGUCCCAUGAGAAGAACCACAAGACUUUCUUGGUGAAAGAUGGCUUUUCCCCAUAUCCAACAGAGAAUAAAAGUGUUCUCAGAUGCUUCCAAAUUCAGGAAUUACACAGGUUACUCUCCACAGUUGCCUUAAAUCUAUAAAUUAAUCCACAUUGCUUUUCCUUUUGUCUCCAACAAAUUAGACUCAAGACUACAAACAGAUGACAAGGUUAUUCCACCUCUACUAAAAACCCAGAAGUCAUUAUCAAGUUCUUAUCAUGCACAUGCAUGACAGCACUUUGCAUUUCAUUCUUUUACAUAAGUAAUUCUUGACCUUGUGUUAAGUUAAAUGGGCUUUAGUUAGCAUGUCAGGUGUGAGUUCUUGGGGACAUGACUUUUCUGCAUGCUUGUGUAUGUAAUGCUCUCCACAGCACAGCUGUGAAACUUCACUGUAAUAAAACCAAUUAUUAGAUCCA